rnacentral:lncRNA from 1 species
CACAAAUUCUAAUCACUUUCAUUUUAUUUAUUUAAUAUGAGUUGGAAUGCCCUAGACAUAAUGUGACUAUUGCUACACCAGAAGGCUGACCUCUUGCUUUUAAAAUUUCUACUAGUUUCCAGGAAGGUGUCUGCCUCGAACUUUAUCUCAAGCUAAAUUUUGAGCUGCAAAAGUGAAUUUUGCACAGAAAAGAAUCAUGUGGGACAAGCUGCUCUCUGUGUUACACCAAGAUGUUCUCUUUGAGAUAGCCACAGAGGAAUUUUUGAUUGGUCUGCACAGAGCAUGCUCUCGAGAUGUUUCUGUCCAUGCUAGUCUGAAAGCUGCCAACAUGAAUUAUCAAGGGCUUGGCAAAUGGACGAUUGGUGAUUGACUGUCAAAUGUACCUUCCGGUAAUUCGGAACUUUCACAUUUGUUCUCUCUUUAGCUGUAAGAAAUCAAUGAUAUUAAUUAUUUGUUGUAGUUCCAAUUUUUAGCGGUUGCAGAUACCACAACCUUGUUUUCUAGAUGAGGUUUAGUGUAGCGAGUGUCAAUGCGCCAUGUUAUCUGCUUUUUGUUCCCUUUUUGUGGUCUGUGAAUCUUGGUAGCUGUGUAUGAGCUGCAAUGAUAUUCCUCUCUUUCUUUGUCCUGCUACUUAGAUGUUGACCUCAAGGAUGUAUAAUUUUGCUGACAAAUGGCAUUGUUGAUUUAUUAGUCACAGGUCAUAAACUUGUUCUAGUAUCAUCAUGCAUUAGCCUUUGAAUUUGGUUAAGCAAGAAUGAAUUGAAAUGCAUGUCCUUUGACUUGGCAGUCCAAGAGAAGGCAAUAAAAAGGAUAUCCACAUGCUUUUUUCCAAUAAAUUCAGGUUUAGAUGAGGUUUUCGUAGUUGGUCCUAAGUUUGUAUAAAAAAUAGACGAAGGUCGCGGUAAGUUGACCUUCAGUUGGAUACUCAUGAUAUGAUAAAUUCUCUUAGACAUUGAAUGAAAUCGGUGUUGUCAACGGCAUGCGCUUAAAGCACGCUUAAGCCCUUGAACGAGGCACAAAACAUGUUUAGCGUUUCGCCUCGCUUGGCGGGCAUUUUAAUUUCGUCAUCAAGGCUCUAAGACAUUUUUCUUUGCUAAUGAGUGUAAUCUUGAGGAGGUGACACUAAACAAUUGAUAUUUCACUUUAUCACAAUCUUUUCAAUUUCUUUGUCCAUAUGUUUGUUAAUUAUGCUUAUAAUUAUUAAUCUUGGAUUACACAUACAUAUUUGUAUUUUUGUCUCUUUUUGUGACUUUCUUUGUUAAAGCUUAUGCUUUAUUUGCGUUUUUUACUUACAGCGCCAACCAACUUUAGAGCUUUUUUGUGCUUUUCGCCGUUGAUAAUCACUCAAUAAAAUGUCCAAAAGGGCGAAUAUAGUGAAGUAAAAGGCGUAGGUAUCCUAGUUAAUUUGGAAUAGUUUGGAAUUGAGGCACAAUUGAUGUAGUACUAAGGAGAUCAUAAAAGGUCAGUUUUGUUCAUUUCUCAUCAUUAUUACAACCUUUUUUUGCCCUUUUCAUGACAUAUUUGUGCGUGCCUCCAGUUUUCAUCUCAAAAGCAGAGCGUGAGAAUGGUGCUGCCUGAACCUUACCAUAUUGCGCUUUAAGAAACAUAAGUUUGUAAGGGUGGAAUAAGUAAAAAACUUAGGCAAACUUAUUAAAUACAUGACAUGCAUUAUAUAUAAAUUGUAAUCAGUGAACUAUUAUAGUAAAUUAAUGUUAUUUACUGUAUAACACCAGUUGUGAGUGAGAAUUAGAUAGUAGGCCAUAAAUAAACUUGUGAUAUUUGUUAUACUUAUAACGAUUAGCUAGCUUCACCUCGUCCAAUUUGGAGCUCAAUUUUGUCGACAAGAUCAAUUAGUAAUUUAUAAAGCAUGAAUAACUCUCCAAGAUGCAUACGGAGAUACUUCUCUUUCUCAUGCUAUUUUCGUAAGUAUAUAAGGUAGAAAUAGUUAAUCAAUAGUAUAUAAUUACGAAACUAGGAUUUUAAAAUUCGUCUGUAAUUGCUUCCUUUUUUGAUAAUUUAUUUCAUGAUGGUUAUGUCUGUGCUAGCUUGCGUACACAUCUACUGUUUUGUCGAGUAUAUGCUAUCUUCUAUCAAUACGAGUACUUGGUGAUCUUGUCCACAACGACCUAGGCAGAUCAAAAGAACUCUUCAAGAGUUUUUUCAAGGUUUGUACUCACUUUAUUGAGCACUAGGUUGCGAUCUUGGAUGCUCACAUAAUUGAGAUGGAGUGGAGCAAGCUUUGAUUGAACACAUCAUGAGAUUGUUGAGAUUUGAUCUUGUACCUUGUUAUCUGAACUGUGACAUCUUGAUCAUUAAAUUGUUUCUUGGGACGACUAGAAUGCUCUCGCUAAAUUUGAUUAAUGAUUAACUUUCGUUAAAUAAAGUUUCAAAGGCAAAAUCUAACUAAGCUACCUUACAAAAACCUAUGCUCAUUCUUAACUAUAUUCUCUUCAACAGAAUCAUCACCAACUUUAAGAAUCAAAUACUUAUAUACUGGUGCGGACGUCACAAUCACAACAAAAAGGUUUCUUGAUGCACUUUUUUAAUACAUCUAAAAGAUGUUUAUACUUGAUAAUGUGAGAUUAAAAAGAAUUAGUUGUUAAUGAAGCGAGUUGAAAUUAUAGGAGAAUCACCUGAUCUAUAUUUGACUGAUUGAAUCCCUCUUCUAAUGCAGACUGACUCAAGUAGAAAGAUUAGUUUAUUUUCUCUCCUUACUUCUAAAGAGGGAGAGACGGGAGCUUUGACGUAACUGGUAAAGUUGUUGCCAUGUGACCAGGAGGUCAUGAGUUCGAGCAGUAGAGAUAACCUCUUACAAAAAUGCAGGGUAAGGCUGGGUACAAUAAACCCUUGUGGUUCGUCCCUUCCCCGGACACGCGUAUAACGGGAGCUUAGUGCACAAAGUAAUUAUUCGUUCGAGACCGAGUAUGUAAUUAGAAUUAUUUUUACCAACAAGAGGAGACUAUCAUAUGUUAUAACAGCUUAAAGGAUUAAUUUAUCUUUCUCAUUAGAAAAUAAAAAUAAAAUCUCUUAGGCCUUGUUAAUAAUCAUCUUUAAUACCUUUAACACAAAUGAACUUCCUAGGUAGAGACACCAUAUUUAAAGAUGUUUGUUACGGAUUGUACUUUGAAAGAGCCAUUACAAUGAUGAUGGCAAAAAUAAAAAGCUUCCAACUCUGUCCAUUUUAGAACAGUUCCACAUGCUAGAGGGGACCAAUCUCAAGCAUUGCAUGUGACUUUCUGUGCAUGCCUUCUUUUAUAUGUCUCUAUUUGUUAGUGUGUGUUUGUGUGUACGCGUCGUGACGUAAGCAAGAUUUUUUCGUAAGCGCUAUCAAUUUAAUGUAUUUUUACAUAAUAUUAUAUGUAUAAUAAUAUUUUUUUGUGACAAAAUCAUGUCGAAUAACACCACUUAAUUUUGUGUGCCUUCGGGCUCGUUUGGUACGAAAGAUAAGUGUUAAUUAAUCUCGGAAUUAAAUUUGAUAUGAGUUUAUCCCACGUUUGAUUGUGAUAAAAUCGCGGUAUAACUAAUCCCUGGAUCAGUUAUCCCGAGAUUGUAAUGUUAUUUUUGUUCCUAUGUGAGGGUAAGAUAAGUAAUCCUCGGACAAUUAAUUCUGAAAUAAUUAUUUUCCCAAUUAAACGACCCUUAAAAGUCUCUUUUUUUUUUUUGGGGGGGGGGGGGGGGAGUCACCCACUGGUAUUUUUGCACAAUUUUUUCCCGAUUGUCUCGUUUUGGGACAACGGCUUAGUAAAUGACAAUAGUCUAAAGAUUCUUUUUGAGCAAACUAAAAAUUUUAUGAGAAAGGAUAGACAACAAUCUAAAAUUUUGUAAGUUAUUGCAAUUUGCAAAUAUUAGACGACACUCUAAUAUUUUGUUAGCAAAGUUGAGCAGUAUAUGAGCAAAUAUUAGACUCGAGUCUGGCAUUGUCCGUAAGUAUAAUUUUUAAGGGCUAUAUUUGUACAACCUUUUAAACAUAGGGACAAAAUCUAAAUAGUAGCCUAUAAGAGGGACAUUUGUGUAAAUCAGCCGUGUUUUGGAGAAGCAAAAGUGGGCCAGAAAUGAAAAGUGAGCUAACGAGAUAUGGGCCUCCAACAAAGCCCAUAAGGUUUCACAAAAUUCAGAACUAAGUGUACCAUAAAUUAGCUUUUUGUGGGGUUAAAAGGCAGCAAACAAUAAAUAAAAACUAACCUUUGAGAAGGCAACUUGUUUGGUUCUUGAAUCAGGUUUAUCAAUUUGUCCCAACCAUGUCACAUGUGAAACCACACACGUACAAAAGCUAUACACCAACAAUUAUAAAAAUAAAAAGUAAAACUAAAUGCAUUAUGGACAGCGGCGGAGCCUAAAAUUUCAUCAAGGGGUGUCAAAAUAUAAAAAAUUAGAUACAAAAAGUUAGGAGAAUCAACGUAUAGUAAAUAUACAUAAAAUAAAAUAAAAAUUAUCUAGCAAUAUAGUGUAAUUUUCCGGUGAAGGAGUGCCGCAUGACAUCCCUUAGUUCAAUGUGGCUCCGCCACUGAAUAUGGGAUCAUAAAACUUACACAGUCUGUGAUUUUGGAUAUUUGUAAAUGGAACGUAAGAUGAGAGAGGCAGAAAUCUGAUGAAUAUAGUAUGAAAAUUAUUGUUCCAAAGCGGAGCGGAUUUGAAGUCUAUAAGUUCUGAACUUAUUAUUAAACUCCUACCUUAUUUUAAAUAUUGGGUUAAUAAAUAAAUAUUUAUACCUAUUGAGUGUAUUUCCUACUGCAAAUACAAGGUCUAAGCAAAAGUUAUUGGGUUCAUCUUAUUUAUACCUUAUAUAGCAUGUUUGGCUAAGUUUCUAAAAUCAAAUUAUUUUAGAAAAAUAUUUUUCUCAAAAGUACUUUUAAAAAAAAAAGACUUUUGGUGAGAAGUAGUUGAGAUUUGACUAAUUAAUUUGAAACAUACUUUUGAUGGACCAUUAGUGUUUGGUCAAGUUUUAGAAAGUGUUUCUCUGUAUAUUAUUUUUAGAAGAGUUUUUCAAUAUUUUCUCAAAAGUAUAUUUCAAAAAAGUAUUUUUGGAAAUAAACUAUUUUUUUCUGCUUCUUGCUUCCACUCAAAAUUACUUUUUUUCCUUCUAAAAACUUGAUCAAACACAUUAACUUUGGGAUAAAAAAACUUUUGGCAAAAAAAAAAGAAGAGUACAUUUGGCUAACAAGAAGUGUGGCCAAACAAACUAUAAGACUCUACCUCCGCCUUUGACCAAAAAUACAUAGCACAUAACACUGAUAAUAACUCUUGUUAUAAUAACAAUAACAACAAUAACGAUUAUAAUAAUAAUUAUAAUAUUUAGGAACAGAACUAUCNNNNNNNNNNNNNNNNNNNNNNNNNNNNNNNNNNNNNNNNNNNNNNNNNNNNNNNNNNNNNNNNNNNNNNNNNNNNNNNNNNNNNNNNNNNNNNNNNNNNNNNNNNNNNNNNNNNNNNNNNNNNNNNNNNNNNNNNNNNNNNNNNNNNNNNNNNNNNNNNNNNNNNNNNNNNNNNNNNNNNNNNNNNNNNNNNNNNNNNNNNNNNNNNNNNNNNNNNUAUAUAUAUAUAUAUAUAUAUAUAUAUAUAUAUAUAUAUAUAUAAAUGAGAGUAGGGUGUACGAACACUGCACUUAACUAUAGGGUAUACGAACACUGCACUAAACUAUUGUACAAACAGUUUGUUGGACUGUACUAUAAAUUUGGACUUCGGUCAUUGGUGAAUGAAUCUAUUUACCUUCUCUAGGGACACGUCUAUUGUAAUUUCAAUUGCAGCCCUUCAAUUUUUCUUUUUUGGGCUGAAACGUGUCUACCAUUUUUAUUACGUGGGACAUCUGGCAUGCACUUCUCUUUUAUUUCCCAUUCUCCUCCUUCGUUCUUACCCUAUGGUUUCUGUUUUUUUCCCUUCCUCCCGCUUACAUCUUUAAUCUUUUGUUACUUUUCUCUCGGAAAAAGUGUUGCACCUCCAAGAUUCAAGACAACUCCGGUAAGCAUUGGUAGGGUUUUCACGAUCUUGCUUUAUUGCUGUCACGAUCCGGAAUUCCCACAAUUGUGACCGUGAUAGCGCCUAACAUUUCACUUACUGGACAAGUCAACGUUAGAUAUAGUUAUUACUCAUUUUUAACAAUUCAAUUUAAAUGAAAACCAAUAAACUGAAUAAACUUAACUAGAAUGUUUAAACUAAAAUAAUAGGGAUAUCCAGAUACAAUCCCAGAACUUGUGUCACAAGUACACGAGCGAAUAGAGUAAUACAAAUAACAAUCUGAAUGAAAAUAUAAUUGUCUGAAACGAAAUAAAUAGCUAGAGUAAUGUAGAAGGGGAUUUCAGAGCUGUGAACGCCGUGCAGCUGUACCUCAAGUCUCCGUCAAGCACCGAAUCCGAGCAAUCUACUGACAACCGCUAGGACCGACUCCAAAAUCUGCACAAGAAGUGUGGAGUGUAGUAUGAGUACAACCGACCCCAUGUACUCUGUAAAUGCCGAGCCUAACCUCGACGAAUUAGUGAUAAGGUUAAGGCGGGUCACUUAUAAUAACAUAUACGUAGUAUAAUAAUAAUAAUAAUAAUAAUAAUAAUAAUAAUAAUAAUAUGAAAAAGUACAUGCAACAAGGCGGGUCACCAAGGCAGUUAACUUAUGAAAAAGAACUCAAUUCUUAUAAUCAGAGAAUUUGAAAUAACCAACCUCAUAAUUUCAUGUAACAACACUAGGUAUCAACACAAUAACAACAAUGAAUACAAAAUACACAAUAUGUUGCGGCGCGCAACACGAUCCCACCUACACACAUAAUCCUCCCUUAUUUCACCACAUAAAUAUCAAAAUUACAUAUAAAAUUCGUUGCGGCGCCCAACCCGAUCCCACCGUAUCAAUAUCAAAAUCCUUCCUUAUUUCACCAUAUCAAUAUCAUAAUCACAUAUAAAAUCCGUUGCGACGCGCAACCCGAUCCCACCGUAUCAAUAUCAAAAUCCUUCCUUAUUCCACCAUAUCACAACCGUUGCAGCGUGCAACCCGGUCCAUAAAUAAAUUCAAUAAUUGUAAUCAAUCCAACAACUCAAUUCACAAGAAUCUCUACGAUUAAAGAAUAUGAAAGCAAGGCAAUAAAGGAACCCCGUACCAAAUCAAGGAAUGCUACUAUUAAUACAACAGCAACAAGACAAGCCAAAUAUAUGGCGGUUAAAGUGUAGAAGUAAGACAGUUAAGGCAAAUAGCAAUUAAUCAUGAAAUCAUUAAUUUACGUAGUGUUACAAAAUCUUUAAGUUAAUAAUGUAUGGAGCUUUACUUCUUAAGUUUUAUUAUUCUUUUCCAUUUUUUUUAUGCUUUGAAUGUAUGUUAAAAAAAAUCAAAUGUGCUGGCUUGGGAUGCUUAAAUCCCGAAAUGUCACCAAAGUUUUGAGAUGAUGAGCAUUUUCAACUAAAAAUUAAGUACUUACCCAACAGAGUGGUGACUCUUUAGCAAAUUUCUGCUGAGUUUUCAGUUUGAUUAUAUAUUUAUUUUCCUUUACACCUGAUCUUCGUCUAUAUGUUACUUUCUUUUAAAAAAAAACAUAACACAGUUCAACUUUCAUAGAUGUUUCAAAUAUGUGAGACUGGCGAGUAUUAAAAUACUACUUAGUUCAUGAUUACUAUAUAUACAGGGAAGAUUUUAUGCGCCCUGCAUGUGCCAAAAACUUAACUAAUUAGGCUAAUUAUUUUUGCAGAGGCGAACCUACGUUAGGGGUAAGGGUAACGGGGGACCCGUUGGCUUCGACGUGUGUAUAUAGGUAUGUACAUCGAGAACCCUUAAAUAUAUUGUUGGUGCCUAAAGUUGGUUGAGUGUACUGCCGAAGUCAACUAGUUUAAUUUUAUUUAAUUUUAUCUUUUUACAUUCAAUUAUUGUUUAAUACUUGUACUGUUGUACAUAGUACUCAACUUAUUAAUGUUAUUCUUCUUUUAAGUCUUCCCAAAAAUCAAAAGCUCCAAACUAUUGCUCUCUUCAAAUAGAAAAUAGAAAAUAGAAAAUAGAAAAUUAUAACCCUUCUACUUCCCUUCAACAAUCACUUCGACAAAGUAGCAACACCUAUCAAUUCUUGCGACAACAACGGAGAGUUUGUACUUUGUUAAAUAAGUCAUAGUUGUUAAGUUUUUAAAUUGCACUCAAUUUCUGGUCCCGUCUCUAAUCGUAAGUAGUGCGGUACGAUGCAGUUGUGGGGUACACCCUCGAAGACUUCAACACUCCUUGUGUCACGAUCCAAAACCCACUAUAGAUCGUGAUGACGCCCAACGUCGCUGUUAGUCAAGCCAACAAUGAACUAUCAGCUUAGUUAUUUAUUUUAUUAUUUUUGAAAUCAUGAAUCUUAUUAGAUAGAGAGAUCAAUGCAUUAAAAACUUUAGACACAUACAAUUUAAAUAAAAUAUAAAGUAAAAAUGUGACAAUGUAAAGCAAACCCUACACAAAUUCUAGAACACCCCAAAACUCAGUGUCACAAGUGCAUGGGCAUCUACUAGGAAGUACAAUAACAAUACAUCAUCUGUCUGGAAUACAAGGUAGACACGAUAAAGUAAAUAAUUAUGAUGGAAACUCUAUGUGCUGCAAAUCUUAGCAUGGCAUGCAGCUCACCAUAAAGUCCCCUCAACAGUUGUGCCUACGCGCCCAAAUGACCACCAAAUGAACCUUUCAAAUCCUGCACAUUUAGUGCAGAAGUGCAGCAUGAGUACGUGAAUCAACGCGUACCCAGUAAGUAUCUAGCCUAACCCCGGAGAGGUAGUGACGAGGGGUCAACAUUGACACUUACUAGUGGUCCAGCAAUUCAAAUAUAAUAAAGUAGGCAAGUAUGAAACAUGGUAGGUAAAAAUGAGUACAAGUAUAGGCAAAUGAUACGGUCUACGACUGAACAAUGAACACCAAGUCCUCAAUUAUCGGGUACCUCCUCAUUUGGAAUACGUAAUGGUCAAUACCAAAUCAAUGGUCACAUCUCAAGUCAGAAAACACAUGAGUACACGGACUCCUUAUCAAGUAUUCGCACAAUUCUACCAAGGCGGAUCCCAUAAGAGUGUUUCAUAAAAAUACCGAGGCGAAUGGCCCGAUCCCAUAAGAGUGUGAUAUACAAUACUGUUGAGGCGAACGACCUGAUCCCAUAAGAGUGUGAUAUACAAUACUGUUGAGGCGAACGACCCGAUCCCAUAAGAAUUUGAUACGUGAUAUUGUCGAGGCGAACGACCCGAUCCCAUAAGAGUGUGUUACAAUAUCCUGUCGAGGCGAAUGACCCAAUCCCAUAAGAGUGUGUUACAGUAUCCUACCGAGGCGAACAACCCGAUCCCAUAAGGAUAUGAAGCUUUUACGGGUCUAUGACUCCACUCGCGAAUAUACGUGUGAGUUAUGGAAUUUAAAAGAAAUUUUCCGAUGAAUACGCACAACGCGGAAGAAAUCUGAAAGAGAAGUACAAUGCUUACUGCUAAUCAAAUAGCUCGUCAAAUAUCUAAAAUAGUGAGUCCAUUGCUCUACACGAGUCUAGUCUCAGGUCAUAAUGUGAAUUAAAGUAAAUAAACAGGCAAGAAUAACUCAAUUAGUACAAUUAAAGCAUGGCGUGAUUCUAAGUCUACCCGGACAUAAUCAGGAACUCUAGCAUACGCACGGACACUCGUCGCCUCAUAAGUGCGUAGCUCCCAUAACAUGUAGCAUGUGAUAAGUAUAACACCUACGGGGUAAAUUCUCCCUCACAAGGUUAGACAUGAGACUUACCUCGCUUUGAAGUACCAUAACUGGCUCCAACGCCUCUCUAGCACCUCAAACCAAUGCCCAUCGAUCCGAAACUAGUCAAACAAUCAUGAAAACUAAUAAAUAUAUACUCUAACGUCAUAAUUAAUUAAUUUAUAAUAAUUUCUAACUCCGUUAAAAAAGUCAACCCUCGGGCAGCGUGCCCGGAUUCCAAAAAUUUUCAAAGAUAAACAUUGCUCAUAACAUCGCAAACUCAAAUAUAUAAUUUAUUCCCAAUUCCAUAUCCAAUUUCGUGGUUAAAAUCCAAAAAUACCAAAUUCUAGGUUUCUUUUAAAAUCUCACAAUUUCUACCAAUUUUCAUGUUUAAAUCUUUAUAGAAUCCAUGUAGUUAACUAACAAUAUGUAGGUAUUACUUACUUUGACAUAGAUGAUGAAAAUCAUCCCUCCAAGAGCACCAAAUAUCGCCCAAUCAAAUGAAAAUGUGAGAGAAAUGGGCUAAGUCCCAAAAUAAUAGCUCACUGCCCAGCAACUCCCUUUUUUGCGAUCGCGAAGGCCAACUAGCCUCGCCCAUGAAUUUACCCUGUGCGAACGCGAGGUCCUACUCGCGAUCGCGAAGCACAACCUGCCCAGGCCUUCGCGAACGCGAGCCCAUUAUCGCGAACGUGAAGGCCAAACUUAGUCUCCGCAGAUUCCUCUUCCGCGAUCGCAUAGCUCAACUCUCCCAAACAGACCUGCCUCCACAACCCAUCUCGUUCGCGACUCUGCCCACACGAAGGCGAAGAACAACCUGCUCCAGCUCCGCGAUCGUGACUCCUUCUAUACGAUCGUAAUGAAUAAAAAUGCCAUCAGUCCCCUUAACCCUUCGCGAUCGCGAUGCAUACCAAAGGCUCUAGAUACCAGCAAUUGCAUAGCGUAGAGAAAUGGUCCGAACUCAUCUCAAAACUCACCCGAGGCUACCGGGACCUCGUCCAAUCAUGCCAACUAGUUUCAAUACCUUAUCCAAACUCAUCUAAAGGCUCGAAAUGCCACGAAUAACAUCAAAACCAUGAAUCAACAAUCAAAAUCUUUCGUUUGACUUUUAAACAUUCAAACUUCGACGAACGCGUCCAAAUCAUACUUAAACAUUCCGGAAUGAUGCCAAACUUUACGUACAAGUCAUAAAUCACGAUACGAACCAAUUCCAAGGUUCGAAAUCUCAAAUGGACAUCGAUAACACUAAAGUCUGCUUCAAAACAAACUUAGAAAAUUCUAAAACUUUCAAAAUGAAAACUUUUCACAAUAAGUGCCGAAAUACUCUCGAACCACCCGAUACUCAACCCGAACAUACUCCCCAGUGCAAAAUCAUCAUACGAACCUAUUGAAACCUUCAAAUCCCGAUUCCAAGAUCGUUUACUCAAAAGUUAAAUCUUGGUCAUUUCUUCUAACUUAAAGCUUCCGAAUUGAGAAUAUUUCUUCCGAAUCAACUCCGAACUUCCCGAAAUUCAAUGCCGACUUCGCGCACAAGUCAUAAGACAUGAAGUGAAGCUACUCAAGGCCUCAAACUGCCGAACGACUGCUAUAAUUUGUUGUUUACAACCCACCCUACUCCACAUAAACCCGCAACGCUUAAAUAUUUUUUAUGAUUUUUUAAUAUAUGAUAUUAAAUUUUAAAAUUUAUAUAAAAAUUAAUCUUGCUAAGUAGAGUAUUAAUUUAAUCUAAAAGUUGUUGUAAGAUAAGAAAGAUGAAAAUCACCAUUUUAAGGGAUAAAGAACCAUCUAGUAUAUAUAUAUAUAUAUAUAUAUAUAUAUAUAUAUAUAUAUAUAUAUAUAUAUAUAUAUANNNNNNNNNNNNNNNNNNNNNNNNGAAAAGUUUCAGUUGAGAUCUCCGAACAUAAUACGCCAAAUACACAAUUAUAGUGAGUAGAUUCACUUGAGAGGGUGAGAGCUUAGUUGGCUCCUCAAGGUUUCAUGAGGUUACUGAUUUAAUUAAUAAAUACCUAAUCGUGUCUAUUUAUUUAGUUUUUCUUUUCUAAAGAACAUAAUGGCCAAAACAUUGACAUUAUUGGAAAGUAAUUACUCUUAAACAAUUCCUUAAAAAAGGAUCCAAUGACUUAAUCUGUAGAUUCAGUACUUGUGUUAGACUAAAAAAUAUUUUUUGUAUUCAAGAUGUUGGAAGAAAUUUCAGAUUUUGACCGUAAACUUGUGGCUAAGAAUAACUAUUUUUUAAUAGUUUCUAAGAGGAAAAUGAACAAACUACUGCUAGUUUCUUAAAACAAAAGGUCAAGGUAAAACAAGUAAAUAUGGAAUGCUAUGUGUCAAUAAGAAGCACCUCAUUGAAUAUUCACGUAUAAUUUCCACACAAAAAUAAUAAUAAAAGGGCGUGAAUUACAAAUAUUUGCACAUGUUAGUCACAAAAUACAAAGGUGGCAUCCAAUUUGAUUUUCAGUUUAGCUUUGAGAACCAAAUCUUGAAAUGGUCAGUAGGAAAAAGAAAUGUCCAAUUUGAUUAAUUUUUGUUUAUGUUGCUCGAAUUCUUCAAAAACUAGUAUUGUGCCCGUGUGAUAUCUUUCAAAAUUAUACGGUCAAAACCGGUUUCGACCUUCAUAUGAUUAGUCAAGGUUGGAACAUAAAGGACCGAAAGUCAUCUUCAUAAUAUCAGGUAUGAGAUCCGAAACCAGGUUACCGAGCUAUAAUUUCUGGAACCGAUCAAAUACCGAACUCGAAAUCAUUACCGAGCUCGAAUCCAAAUCGAACUAUGAUGCGAAGCGGCGUCAUCGAGCUUUAGAGCCAGAGACCGACCAAUACUGAGCCCAAGUCAAUACCGGGCCCCGAGUCAAUAUCGAGCUCUAAAUCUGAAAACCAACUAAUACCAAGUCCGAUCAAGAUCGAGCCAAGUCCGGUCAAGAUCAAGCCAAGGGACAAGAGUCGUUAUAGUCGCACUAAGGAGAGAGAAUCUCGGCGGGAAUUAGAAAAAAAUUAUUUUAUUAUGGGAUCCCCACUAUGUAUUUUUAAUUAUAUCUAAAGUAGGAUUCCUUCACUAUAAGAGGGAUAGCCACUAUUUAUGUAAAGGGGGGCAAAUUAAGGCAUUGAUACACUCUUAUAUUAUUCACAGAGAAAAACAUACCGAUAUUUAUAUUGAGAUUAUCCUCUUGUGAGCUAUAUACAUCGAUUCAUCUUGCUUGAUCAUAAAAUAGCUUUCUAUUUCAAUUUGGUUGGUAUUUCAUUCUUCAUACAGUCAAUACCCAGUAUAUUUCUACUUACUUUCCGAUUUGUGCCAAGUUGUAUCACAUAUCCUUAGAACUAUGUAUAAAUUCAACUCUAUCCGUUUUUCGGAUAAACGGUUUGGCACCCACCAUGGGGCUAAGGAUAACAGUGGUUGUUUGGUACGAAUCUCUACAAAACACACAAUUUUACACUUACUCUUGGAAGUAUCUUUGAUUUCAGGUUGAAAACGACGAAUUCUCAAUUAAUGGACAUACCUAUCGAUAACGAAGCUGGCCUUCAAGAUGAGAACAACAACUUAACCCCCUGGGUUGGAAGGCCACUUGUCGAUCCCGUUGGUGCUCGGGUCGAAGAGCCGAUAGACGUAAAUUCAUGGUGGAACUCGGUCCGCAACUCGAAAUACCCAAAAUGCUGAGAAAAAUGGAAUCAACUUGCGUAUGAUUUUCGAGAUGUUGCAAGCUCAACAAGUAGCAAUAGCCCAGUUGCAGAGCCAAAACCAGGCACCGACCAGACUCAAGCCCAGUCCACCCCAAGAAGUCACCCACAAAACGGGGCCAGCUAUAGUAAGAUCAAAUGAGCAAGAAUCAGGGACUAAUCCCGAAAUUAUUAAGAUGCUCGAAGAACUGACAAAACGAAUAGAGUCAUGAGAAAGGAGGAUCGAGGCAGACAACAAAAAAGUGGAAACAUAUAACUCCAGGGUUGAUCAGAUCCCGGGGGCACCACCGAUAUUGAAGGACUUAGAUUCCAAAAAAUUCAUACAAAAGCCUUUCCCCUCAAGCGCGGCCCCUAAACCGAUCCCAAAGAAGUUUCGCAUGGCCGAGAUUCCUAAAUAUAAUGGAACGACCGACCUCAACGAACAUGUAACCUCUUACACAUGUGCCAUCAAAGGGAACGAUCUAGAGGACGAUGAGAUCGAAUCUGUAUUAUUGAAAAAAUUCGGUGAAACACUGUCAAAGGGAGCAAUGAUAUGAUAUCAUAAUUUACCAUCUAACUCUAUUGAUUCUUUUGCUAUGCAUGUAGAAUCUUUCAUAAAAACACAUGUUGGGGCCAUAAAGGUCGAGGCCAGGAAGUCGGACCUAUUCAAGGUAAGACAAAAGGAUAACGAGAUGCUAAGAAAAUUCGUAUCUCGUUUCCAAAUGGAACGAAUGGAUCUAUGACCAAUCACAAAUGAUUGGGCUGUUCAAGCUUUCACUCAAGGUCUAAACGAACGAAGCUCGAUAGCUUCACGGCGGCUGAAGCAUAACCUGAUCGAGUACCCAACUAUUACUUGGGCCGAUGUGCACAAUCGGUAUCAAUCCAAAAUAAGAGUCGAAGACGACCAGUUGGGUUUUGGGUUCGAUUUUAAAAGGGAUAUCGACCAAGAACCAAGGUCAAAUGAGGAUCGAUACCAGCCAUAUAACGAAGAUCGUAGGGGUAGCGAACCUUUACGCAACCUCGCACGAGGCGAAAAGAGAAAUGAUCGAUGCCAAGGGUCUCAGGGGCUGAUGAACAGGAAUGGGUUCGACAGGCAUACCGGACCUAAGGAUGCACCUCGGUUAUCGGAGUAUAACUUCAGCAUCGAUGCAUCCGCUAUCGUAUCGGCUAUCGGACGCAUCAAAGAUACUAAAUGGCCUCGACCUAUACAGACCGAUCCUGCCCAGAGGAAUCCCAAUCAAGUGUGCGAAUAUCAUGGCACUCAUAGCCACAGAACGGAAGAUUGCAGGCAACUAAGAGAUGAGGUAGCUCGGUUAUUUAACAAAGGGCACCUUCGAGAAUUUUUAAGUGACAUGGCCAAAAACCAUUUCAAAAAUAGGAAUUUCAAUAGACAAAAUGAACAAGAAGAGCCACAACACAUCAUCCACAUGAUCAUUAGUGGGAUCGAUACCCCCAGGGGCCGGUGCUUAAACUCACUAAGAUGUCGGUUAUAAGAGAAAAGCGAUCCCGAACUCAGGAUUACACCCCUGAAGGAACCUUGUCCUUUAAUAACGAAGACGCAGAAGGAAUCAUGCAACCACAUAAUGAUGCGCUGGUAAUAUCUGUACUUAUGAAUAAAACUCAAGUUAAACGUGUGUUAGUUGAUCCAGGUAGUUCGGCCAACAUCAUUCGAUCGAGGGUCGUAGAGCAACUCGGUCUACAGGACCAGGUCGUGCCCGCAACCUUGGUACAAAACAGAUUCAUUAUGGCAUGUGAAACUACUAAGGAAGAAAUAAUCUUGCCAGUUAACAUGGUUGGAACCAUCCAAGAAACGAAGUUCCACGUGAUCGAAGGCGAUAUAAGAUACAACGCCCUGUUUGGAAGGCCGUGGAUCCACAAUAUGAGGGUUGUACCCUCGACCCUCCACCAGGUUUUGAAGUUCCUAACAUCGGAGGGAAUCAAAAUAGUCUACGGGGAGCAACCGGUUGCAAAAGAAAUAUUGUCGUCGACGAAGUGAUUCUGAUGUCAUCAUUAUCAUCAGCAAAAGGAUCGGAUUCGAAGGAGGAACGGAAUACCAAAUAGAAAUUACAAACGUCAGCUUCCACCCAAUUAGAGAAUCAGAAGACUGGUGAAGAUGAUGAACAUAGGAUCCCUCGAUCUUUCGUGGUUCCCGAUGAUUCCGACGCCACCCAAUCAAUAAUUGAAGAACUGGAUCAAGUCAUACUAAUCGAAUAUCUUCCCCAACGAAAGGUAUACCUGGGCACGGGGUUAGAUCUCGAGCUCAGAAGAAAUCUUAUUCAAUUUCUUAUAGCUAACAUAGACUGUUUCGCUUGGUCCCAUCUUGAUAUGACAGGGAUCCCACCGGGAAUCACCACUCAUAAGCUAAGCUUGGACCCGAAAUUCCACCCGGUAAAACAAAAAAGAAGACCCCAGUCUGAGGUCAAACAUGCCAUCAUCAAAGACGAGGUAACCAAGCUUCUCAAAAUAGGGUCCAUUCGGGAAGUAAAGUACCCCGAAUGGCUAGCAAAUGUGGUGGUAGUCCCUAAAAGGGGGAACAAACUUAGAAUGUGUAUAGAUUAUAAAGACUUGAAUAAAUCAUGCCCUAAGGACUCUUUUCCUUUACCUAAUAUCGAUCGUAUGAUCGAUGCCACGGCCGGCCGUGAGACUCUUAGUUUUCUCGAUGCCUAUUCCGGGUACAGCCAAAUACAGAUGAACCCAGAGGAUCAGGAAAAGACCUCAUUUAUCACUAAGUAUGGGACCUACUAUUAUAAUGUAAUGCCAUUCGGCCUAAAAAAUGCUGGUGCAACUUAUCAACGCCUAGUAAACAGAAUGUUCGAAAAGCAAAUAGGAAAAUUAAUGGAAGUUUAUAUUGAUGACAUGUUAGUUAAAUCCCUGCGAGCAGAGGACCAUUUAAAGCAUUUCUAGGAAACUUUCGACAUACUAAGAGAGUUCAAUAUGAAGCUCAAUCCCGAAAAAUGUGCUUUCUGGGUUGGCUCGGGCAAGUUUCUCGGUUUCAUGGUGUCCAAUCGAGGAAUUGAGAUUAACCCCGAUAAAAUCAAAGCAAUCGAGGAUAUCACAGUGGUAGAUAAUGUAAAGGUUGUGCAAAGGCUAACAAAAUAGAUAGCUGCCCUGGGAUGAUUCAUUACGAGAUCCUCGAAGAGGAGCCACCGUUUUUUUUCUUUACUUAAAAAGAAAAGCAAUUUUUCAUGGACUCCGGAAUGUCAGCAGGCAUUAAAGAGCUAAAACGGUAUCUAUCGAGCCCUCCGUUGCUUCAUACCCCGAAGGCAGACGUACAAUAUUAACUGUAUCUAGAUGUCUCGAAGGUAGCGGUAAGUGGAGUCCUAAUUUGAGAAGAACGAGGUACGCAGUUCCCUAUUUAUUUUGUCAGUCGAACUCUAGGCGAGGCCGAAACUAGAUAUCCACACUUAGAAAAAUUAGUGCUUGCUUUAAUAAGUGCCUCUAGAAAAUUAAAACCAUAUUUCCAGUGCCAUCCAAUACAUGUUGUAACAACUUAUCCUUUGUGAAAUAUUUUACACAAACCUGAUCUUUCGGGUUGAUUGGCCAAAUGGGCCAUAGAGAUCAGCGGGUACGACAUCGAGUAUCGACCUCGAACCGCUAUCAAAUCUCAAAUGUUAGCGGACUUCAUGGCUAAAUUUACACCAGCCUUCGUACCCGAUAUCGAAAAGGAAUUACUGAUAAAAUCAGGUACUUCUUCAGGAAUCUGGAUCCUCUUUACGGACGGUGCCUCGAAUGCAAAGGGGUCCGGACUGGGCAUCGUACUAAAAUUGCCCACAGGUAAUAUAGUUAGACAGUUUAUUAAAACUCCACAAUUGACUAACAAUGAGGCCGAGUAUGAGGUUGUGAUUGCAGUUCUCGAACUAGAUAGAAGUUUGGGAGCCGAGGUCGUGGAGGCUAAAUGUGAUUCCCUCCUCGUGGUAAAUCAAGUCAACGGGACUUUUGAAGUCCGGGAAGAACGAAUGCAGAGGUACUUGGAUAAAUUGCAAGUGACUCUACAUCGAUUUAAGUAAUGGACUUUGCAACAUAUACUUCGAGAGUAGAACAAUGAGGCCAACGCUCUUGCAAACUUAGGUUCUUCGGUCGAAGAUGACGAGCUCAACUCGGGGACUGUCGUACAACUCAUGAAAUCGGUAAUCGAAGAAGGUCAUGCUGAGAUAAACUCCACAAGUCUAACAUGGGAUUGGAGAAAUAAAUAUAUAGAGUACUUCAAGAAUGGCAAACUUCCAUCAGAUCCAAAGAAAUCGAGAGCUCUACGCACAAAAGUUGCACGGUUCACCUUAUCUAAUGAUGGGACGCUAUUUAGAAGGACGUUCGAUGGUCCACUGGCAAUAUGUUUGGGACCGGGAGAUACCGACUACAUCCUACAUGAGAUUCACGAGGGCACUUGUGGGAAUCAUUCCGAUGCCGAUUCAUUGGUCCACAAAAUAAUCAGAGCAGGAUAUUAUUGGAUCGAUAUGAAGAAAGAUGCAAGGGAGUUUGUUAAAAAAUGUGACAAAUAUCAAAGACAUGCGUCCAUGAUUCAUCAACCCGAGGAACUUCUCCACUCGGUCCUAGCUCCUUGGCCUUUCAUGAAAUGGGGAAUGGACAUCGUCGGUCCCCUCCCAUCGGCCCCAGGUAAGGCUCAGUUUAUUUUGUUUAUGACUGAUUAUUUCUCUAAAUGAGUUGAAGCACAGGCUUUCGAGAAAGUCAGAGAAAAAAAGGUGAUAAACUUCAUUUGGGACCACAUCAUAUAUCGGUUCGGGAUGCCAUCCGAGAUUGUAUGUGACAAUAGAAAGCAAUUCAUCGGAAGCAAAAUAACCAUAUUUCUCGAAGACCAUAAAAUCAAAAGGAUCCUAUCAACACCUUAUCAUCCCCAGCAGAAACGGACAAGCCGAAUCGACCAACAAAAGCAUCAUCCAAAAUCUUAAGAAAAGAUUAACCGACGCUAAAGGAAAAUGGAGAGAAAUACUACCCGAAGUCCUAUAAGCUUACCACACAACAUCGAAAUUGAGUACCGGGGUGACGCCAUUCUCAUUGGUUUAUGGCGCCGAAGCUCUUAUCCCGGUUGAGGUCGGAGAACCCUAGCAUCAGGUUUCGAUAUGCAACAAAUAAGUCGAAUAACGAGAUGAUGAACACGAGCCUAGAAUUAUUGGAUGAAAAAUGAGAAGCAGCUCUCGUCCGAUUAGCCGGCCAAAAAUAGCAGAUCAAAAGGUAUUAUAAUCGAAGAACCAAUCUUCGAUAUUUUAAAAUCGGGGACUUGGUGCUAAGGAAAGUCACCCUCAACACCCGAAAUCCAAAUGAAGGAAAACUGGGUCCUAAUUGGGAAGGACCGUAUCAGGUUCUCGAAAUCGUCGGAAAAGGAUCCUACAAGCUCGGUGUAAUAAACAGCAAACAACUACCAAACAAUUGGAACGUGGCAAACCUAAAACGAUACUACUGUUAAGGUACGACCCUCCUAUGUUCAUUUAUUGUCGAAAUUAACCCUUGCAAGUGUUCGAUCAGAAACAGGGAUGGGUUAUUCAACUCGAAGCCUUUACGCCUGAAAGCACGCGUUGCACUCUUUUCCCCUUAGACCGGUUUUAUCCCAAAUGGGUUUUUCAGCAGGGUUUUUAAUGAGGCAACCAUUGAUUGUGCUAACUUAGAACAAUUCAACAAUAUUCGAGUCCUCUUUAAAAUCAACCUCGAAUACCGGGGGGCAUUACCGUCGAAUAUAUCAAGUUCGAUGCAAGGAAGUUACUUCAUGAUAACAUGGUUUCGAUAGGAAAACUUGUAAGAGCCAAAUGGUCAAAACGAACCAUGCUCGUGUAGUUUGAUCGAUCCCUGGCACAAAACAUGAACACGUGUAUAAUGACAAAGAGAAAUUUUUUCUUUACCGAUAUCUUAUAUCCUAGAAAAAUUCCUCUAUUUCGAGAUCUAUUAUGCAGACUAAGCCUACGGGCUACAUUACUUCAAGUUUGAGCAAGCACUCACUCAACUAUUAAGUCUAAGAGCUAAUCUUAUUUCGAGUUCGAGCAAUCACUCACUCGACUAUUAAAAGCCUACGGGCUACGUUACUUCGAGUUCGAGCAAUCACUCACUCGACUACUAAGCCUAAGGGCUACAUUACUUCGAGUUCGAGCAAACACUCACUCGACUAUUACGCCUAAGGGCUAAUCUUAUUUCGAGUUCGAUCAAUCACUCACUUGACUAUUAAAAGCUUACGGGCUACGUUAUUUCGAGUUCGAGCAAUCACUUACUCGACUACCAAACCUACGAGCUAAUUUUAUUUCGAGUUCGAGUUUGAGCAAUCACUCACUCGACUACUAAGCCUAAGGGCUAAUCUUAUUUCAACUUCGAGCAAUCACUCACUCGACUAUUAAAAGCCUACAGGCUACGUUAUUUCGGGUUCGAGCAAUUACUCACUCGAAUACUAAGCCUAUGGGCUAAUCUUAUUUAGAGUUCGAGCAAUCACUCACUCGACUACUAAGCCUAAGGGCUAAUCUUAUUUCGAGUUCGAGCAAUCACUAACUCGACUAUUAAAAGCCUACGAGCUACGUCAUUUCGAGUUUGAGCGAUCACUCACUCGACUACUAAGCCUACGUGCUACAUUACUUCUAGUUCAAGUAAGAACUCACUCGACUACUAAGCCUAAGGGCUAAUCUUAUUUCGAGUUCGAGCAAUCACUCACUCGUUUAUUAAAAUCCUACGGGCUACGUUAUUUCGAGUUCGAGCAAUCACUCACUCGAUUACUAAACCUACGGGCUAAUCUUAUUUCGAGUUCGAGUAAUCACUCACUCGACUAUUAAGCCUAAGGGCUAAUCUUAUUUCGUGUUCGAGCAAUCACUCACUCGACUAUUAAAAGCCUACAGGCUAUGUUACUUCGAGUUCGAGCAAUCACUCACUCGACUACUAAGCCUACGAGCUACAUGACUUCGACUUCGAGCAAUCACCCACUCGACUAUUAAAGCCUAAGGGCUAUUCUUACUUCGAGUUCGAACAAGCACUCACUCGACUACUAAGCCUACAGGCUACAUUACUUCGAGUUCGAGCAAUAACUCACUCGGUUAUAAAGACUUCAAGGUCCGUCUUCGAUCAAAUUGCCUAAAGACUCAAACUUAUGAAAACUUUCAUAAGGCAUGAAUGAAACAAAGAUUUCACAAGGCAGAAAAUGAAACAAAGACAAAUCGGGAAAGGAAAAGAUCUUCAUAUAUCUGAGUAUUUACAAGGUUCGAAGGCCCCUACACAAAAAAGAUCAAAAACAAAAAACCCUAAGGUUCCUGAUUAUCUCAUGGAGCAGCCUCUUCUCCAUCGAGCUCCACCCCGCUCUCUGACCCGUUCUUGCUCUCUUUAUCAUCAUCAUCAUAGGAAGCCAGGGCUCCAGCAUCGGCUUUGAGUUUUUUAGCCUUUUUUAUCUCUUCGGUGAGAUCGAAACCUCGAGCAUGGAUUUCCUCGAGGGUUUCCCUCAGAGAUUGGCAUUUGGCGAGUUCAGCAACCUAAUAUGCUCGAGUUUGAGCGGUCUCGGUUGCCUUUCUCGCUUGUACUUGAGCGGCUUUGGCAUCGGCCCGAUAGAUAGCCAUGAAUGCAUCCGCCUCGGCCUUUGCCUUUUCAGCUUCAGAUUUGGCCUUGGCAAGUUCAGAAGUCAACCAAGCUUCAAGCUCCUCUAUUUUUCUUGCUUGAACCGAGCUCCUCUCCUUCAUGCCUUGAAGUUGACUUUCAGCCGAUGAUAAUUGGGCUCGAGCAGCCUCUUUCUCUGCAGUAAGGCGGUCCAUACCUUCUUUUCACCCCAAGGUCUCCACCUUUAUUAUAUCGACCUGCUCACGGAGCUGCCCGAUCAUCUCGAGCUUCUGCUGCAGCUGUGAGAUCAAAAUAUUAGCCUCCAAUACUGAAUCGAACCCAUGAGAUUUUAAGAUUUUCAUUACCUGCUCGGUCACAUCGGUCUGAUCUUGGUGAGCCUUGGUCAACUCGGCUCGGAGGUCCUUGGUCUCCUCUUCUCUUUGCUCACAACGAAGUUUGAGGGCAUUUCUCUACUCUGUGAGCCUUCAUAGGUCGAAUCCUCAGAGGAGGCCAUGGAAGGGAGGAUCCUUUUUCUUUUAUUGUCCUUCACCGCUUUUGGAACUGGGGCCAAAAUCUUUUCCUCGCCAGACAGGGACCUCAUACCCGCAUCUUUGCCCAGGCCUACACAAAAAAAAAAUUGAUUAAGUAUAAGAAAAACAUUUUGUUUGAAUCAUCAAAGACACGGGAAAGAGGCUUACCAUGGUUUUUGGCCUCCCAUUGGCCCUUUGAUAAAUCGCGCCACGAGUGCUCGGCAUAUGUAGAGGUCGAAGCCAGGUCCUGUACCCAGCUUUUAAGGUCAAGAACUGCACCGGGCAUCCAAGCAACCGUUGCAUCACAAAAAAGAUAUCGAUGAGAAAGAAACGAAGGAGCAAGACAAUAUGAGCUAAAAGUAGAAUUAUACUUACGCUUCAUGUUCCAUUCUUCGGGAAAUGAUAUCUUCUCGGCCGGGAUUAGGUCCGAAGUCUUCACUCGAAUGAACCUGCUCAUCCAGCCCCGGUCUUGUCCUUGUAUAUACUCGAGAACAUCACUUUGGUAGCCCGGCGCUGGAGUUUUAUUAACCCACCUUGAUAGAGGCGGGGGCUGUACAAUCUAAUGAGGUGGUCGAGGGUGAAAGCCACCCCCUCGACUUUGUUCAUGAAGAAGCGGAUCAGAAUAACGAUCCGCCAAAAAGAAGGGUGGAUUUGGCCUAGAGUUACUUGGUAUUGGCGGCAAAAAUCGAUGACAACAGGGUCGAGGGGGCCCAACAUGAAAGGGUAAGUGUACACACUUAGAAACCCUUUUACAUGCGUAGUAAUUUCUUCUCCGGGAGCUGGGAUUAUCACUUCUACGUCCUCCCAGUUACAAUCUUUCCUUAACUGUUUAAUAUGGCCCUCGGUUAUCGAGCACAUAUAUCUCGAUACUGGUUCGCAUCGAUCGGGGACCGACGAAGCUUUGUCGAUCUUAAAAUUAGAGGUAAACCUCCCUGGAACACACUCCUCAGGUCGUGGCUCCACCAAUGUUGUCGCCGGCGGGCCGAGAAGAAGAAGCUUUUUCUUUAUGAGGAACAUUUUUUGAUGUUUUCGCCAUUAGGAUCUGAAGAUUGAAGAUAGAGGAAGAUGACAAGAUUUGGUUUUCUAAAAGAGGGAUUUUGCAGUGAAAAUCACAAAUUUACAGAUAAAGAACUCAGAAGAUGCGAAAGGGAACUUAGAAGAUUUGGAGAUGUAAAAGUAAAAAAUGGUAAAAAGAGGGGCUAUUUAUAGGGUUGGCAAUGACGGUUCGUCUGACACGCAUUUAAUGCCUUGGUAACCUAAACCGACGGGACAUAUAUCUCGUACGUCAUGGUCGUGCUCGAUGCAAACGUCAGUUUGUAUCGAGUCAUACCGCUUGAAAAUCAUGUUGUUUCUCGCCACAUUCUUCGUGAGAAACGAGGGGACUAUUUGAUUUUCAGUUUAGUUUUGAGAACCAAAUCUUGAAAUGGUCAGUAGGAAAAAGAAAUGUCCAAUUUGAUUAAUUUUUGUUUAUAUUGCUCGUAUUCUUCAAAAAAAUUAUUGUACUCGUGUGAGAUCUUUCAAAAUUAUACGGUCAAAAUCGGUUUCGACCUUCAUAUGAUUAGUCAAGGUUGAAACAUAAUGGACUGAAGGUCAUCUUCAUAAUAUCAAGUAUGGGAUCCGAAGCCAGGUUACCGAGCUAUAAUUUCUAGGACCGAUCAAAUACUGAACUCGAAGUCAUUACUGAGCUCGAAUCCAAAUUGAAUGAUGCGAAGCGGCGUCAUCGAGCUUGAGAGCCAGAGACCGACCAAUACCGAGCCCAAGUCAAUACCGGGCCCGAGUCUAUAUCGAGCCCGAGUCAAUACCGGGCUCUAAAUCUGGAAACCAACCAAUACCAAGUCCGAUCAAGAGUGAGCCAAGUUCGGUCAAGAUCGAGCCAAGGGACAAGAGCCGUUACAGUUGCACUAAGGAGAGAGAAUCUCGGCGGAAAUUAGGGAAAAACUAUUCUAUCAUGGGAUCCCCACUAUAUAUUUUUAAUUAUAUCUAAAGUAGAAUUCCUCCACUAUAAGAGGGAUAUCCACUAUUUUUGUAAAGGGGGGCAGAUUGAGGCAUUGAUACACUCUCAUACUAUUCACGGAGAAAAAUAUACCAAUAUUUAUAUUGAGAUUAUCCUCUUGUGAGCUAUAUACAUUGGUUCAUCUUGCUUGUUCAUAAAAUAACUUUCUAUUUCAAUUUGGUUGGUAUUUCAUUCUUCAUACUGUCAAUACCCAGUAUAUUUCUACUUACUUUCCGAUUUGUCCCAAGUUGUAUCACGUAUCCUUAGAACUACGUAUAAAUUCAACUCUAUCCGUUUUUCGGGUAAACAGUACUAUUUUUGAAGAAUUCAAUAUAUAUCCGAAGACUUUUAUAAAAAGUCCGAACACUAAGUUUAUAAUUAGGUGCAUUUUAUCAUUUUCGUUUCAUCCUUUUUGGGAAACUUGGAAGUCUACACAAGUUAACCACAGACAAUUGAAAUUGAUUAUAGAAUAUUGUAAAAGUGCCAAACAAAAUUAUUGUGUCAAUCUCCAUAGUCAUAGGUUUAACUCAUGUAGCUAUAUUCUAGUGCUUUCUCAAAAAUAAAAUAAAAUAAUUUCUUUCUUUUAAACUAUUUUAAAUGUACGUCCAGAUAUUGCCAUUUCUUUCUUUUAUAAGACGUCUCCUAAAUAUAGAUAAGAAAAACAAAAUUUUAAAAAUAAGCAUCAUCUUCAAAAGGAUCGUUAGAACUUAGACUAAACUAGAAAAAUAUGUGUACAUUAAAAGAGAUAAAAGAAUAAAAGUAAAAAGAAUGAAAUCUCGACAUUACUCACACUAAGACAUACAGAGUCAAGCAAAAACAGACACUUAUUCUGUCAAUGUCAAAUAAAGAAUGACAUUUUACUAUAUAGGGAGAGAAAUAAAUUUUCUUGAUUAUAAAAUUUUAAAUGUACUUUUAACAAUAAAAAGUUAACGUAUAUUAGUUAAUAUUACUAAUUCAAAAGAUAUUGAUUACCAUUAUACCAUAUUCCUAUUACUCUUUUUAGGAUUAUCUUAUGUUAGUGUGAAUGUAAUUUUAUACCAUAGAUGCGAAUUAAUUAGUUUUAAAAGAAUAUUUAUCUUAUUUUUCAUAUUACUAAUUUAAUAUAUUAUGAAUAAUUUCCUUUUAACAUGAUCAAUGCAAAAAAAAAAAAAAAAAAAUCAUUGUCAGUGUAAGAUGAUCAGUCUUCAAAAAACACACCGACAGUGUAAAUAAUAAUUACACAAUCAAAUUAGUUAUUAAAUAAUUACAUGUAAAUUUCUUAAUAAAUAUUAAUCAAUAAUCUAAUAAAGCUGUUGGCUAACCUGCUAUCAUAAAAUUAUAGUGUAAAAAGAAUAUUUAAAUUGUUUGUGUAAUGUUGUGGUGGAGUGUUAAGUAUUCUUCACUUUUAAGCAAAUGUUUCGAGUUCGAGUCUUACGUAUGAAAUUACUUUUAGCGGUGAGUACUUUACCCUCAAAAGUUAGACUUUUCGGAUUAGUCGGACUCUAGGUCUUGAGUUCGAGUCUUAGGUAUGAAAUCACCUUUAGUUGGGAAUGUUCUACCCUCAAAAGUGAGACGUUUCGGAUUAGUCGGACUCCAAAGUAAGUAAAAGAGCAAUCAUGUGCACUAAGUUCUCGCUAUGCAGGGGUCUGAGGAAGGGCAGGACCACAAGGGUCCAUUGUACGCAGUCUUAUCCUGUGAUUCUGUAAGAGGCUGUUUCCACGGAUCGAACUCGUGACAUCCUGGUCACGUGGCAACAACUUUACUAGUUACGCCAAGACUCACUUAUCCAAAUUAAGUACAGAAACGAAAAAAAAACAAAAAACAAAAAUUAAAUUUUUUAAUUAACAAAACAAUCCUUAGAGGUGAUGUUUCAUUGGCCACGCUGGGUCCAGUUCAAGGCUGCUGCACAAAGAGAAAAAGCAUUAAAGAUAGCGCACGCGCUUUACAGUAACACUGGCAAAGGCAAUUUGGUAAUUUAAAAACAAAUCCAGGGGCAAAAAGUUUGAAUCUAAAUACAGAAACAGCAAACAACAGUAAACAGCCAGUGGGGGAAGCAGAGAUGAUAACAGCAACACAAACCCAAAAGUGAAAGUAAGAACGAAAGAUAUAAAUCUAUACAUACAUAUCAAUUCUAGAGAGAGAAACCCUUUUAAAAUCUUAACCUGAAUUUUGAUUACUCACUUUCUCUCUCUAGAAACCCCUCACCCAAAAAGAUCUUGCUUUUAUCGUUUUUUCCAGGUAAAGUUUCAAUUUAUUUGUGGGUUUUAUUCAUAUUUGGUUUUUUCAGGUAAAGUUUUAGUUUUAUUUGUGGUGUUAUGCUUAUUUGUAUUUAUUAGGUUAAAUUAAUCGAUUUGGGUAUCAUUAUGCUGAAUUUGAUUACUUUCUCUCUCUAGAAACCCCUCUGUUGUUACCCCAAAAAGAUCGCUUUUAUCGUGUUUUGGGGUAAAUUUUCCAAAUUUUAUUUGUGGGUUUUUAUGCAUAUUUUGUAUUUAUCGGUGUAAAUAUGUUAGAUUUGGGUAUUAUUAUGCUAAAUUCUGUUACAAUGAAAGAUGCAAUAGAGCUAGAUCGAUGAGUGUGUAAUGCCUCUUUUUCAAUUAACCUUGUUUUGAAUUUUUUCUUUUAAAAAGAGUGAGCGGGCUUCAAGAAGGAAAGUGAACACAUCUAACUUCAGUUUUCGAAAUAAAAUCUACAUAUUUAGAAACUGCAUAAGUACUUACUAUAAUUAGAAAAAAAUUCAUGAUUUGAGAAAAAUCAUGGUCAAGGUCUCAAAUAGAAUACUACUUAAGACUUCAAAUAGAAAUAAUGUCUUUUUUUUUGGGCGGAGAAGUAUUUAUUUUGGUCUUUUUUUCUUUAUUGAUUCAGAUUUGAGCUUAGUGAUACCGGAGUUCAGGGCAUAUUGGUGUUAGUGUUUCAGCAAAUUAAGCUUGAAACUUGCAAUGCUUUAAUUGGUAAAGUAUAUGAGAGCUGAAGCUGAUAUCAGUCGAGAAAAAUCAAUUCUUUGAGCUUGGCAAAAUUCCAAACAUUUCAAUUCUAGUUGAUAUAGUUGACGGUGCGCAUCAAAAUAGUCAAAUAUGAUUUGAAGAGAAAGAUGGGUGAAAUCUAGGUUAUUCCAAGAAUUUUGGAAAGGACAAAGAGAGGGUCGAAGAAAAGUCAAUGGAAGAUUUGUCCAAGUACGUUCAUAGUCCAGCUCAUUUGGCUGUGGUUAAGCGAGACUAUGCCACUUUGAAAAGGAUAGUUGCUGGCCUUCCUCAAUUGGCUAAGGCUGGUGAAGUGAACACUGAGACGGAGUCCCUGACUGCUGAGCUUGAUGCAGAUGCUGUUACUGCAGUAAUUGAUAGGCGGGAUGUUCCUGGCCGUGAAACCCCGUUGCACCUUGCUGUUCGGAUAAGGGAUCCUAUCUCGGCUGAGAUUUUAAUGGCUGCAGGCGCCGAUUGGAGUCUUCAAAAUGAGAACGGUUGGAGUGCUCUCCAGGAAGCAGUGUGUACAAAGGAGGAGAAUAUUGCUAUGAUUAUUGCUAGGCAUUAUCAGCCUCUUGCCUGGGCCAAGUGGUGCCGCAGACUUCCUAGGAUUGUUGCCUCUGCUGCUCGAAUUCGUGAUUUCUACAUGGAGAUAACCUUUCACUUUGAGAGCUCGGUAAUACCAUUCAUUGGACGGAUUGCCCCGUCAGACACUUACCGGAUUUGGAAACGGGGUUCUAAUCUUCGUGCGGAUAUGACUCUUGCAGGAUUCGAUGGGUUCCGCAUUCAACGUUCAGAUCAAACUUUCCUCUUUCUUGGAGAAGGGUAUUCAUCGGAAGACGGGAACGUAUCUUUGACUCCUGGUUCUUUGAUUGUGCUUGCUCAUAAGGAGAAAGAGAUUACAAAUGCGUUAGAGGGAGCUGGUGUUCAACCAUCAGAAGCUGAAGUUGCCCGUGAAGUGGCUUUGAUGUCUCAAACAAAUAUGUAUAGGCCAGGAAUAGAUGUUACUCAGGCGGAGCUUGUUCCCCACAUAAACUGGAGGAGACAGGAGAGGUCUGAGAUGGUUGGUGCAUGGAAGGCAAAGGUUUAUGAUAUGCUUCACGUUAUGGUCAGUGUAAAAUCAAGGCGUGUUCCUGGUGCUAUAACCGAUGAGGAGCUUUUUACUGUGAAUGAUGAUGACAAAAUAGUGAAUGGGGGCGAGCGUGAUGAUUAUGAUGAUGUAUUAACAGCUGAAGAACGAAUCCAGUUAGAUUCUGCUCUUCGGAUGGGCAAUGCAGAUGGACCUGGUGAGGAUGAGGAUUUCCAUGGAAACUCUGAUGGAGGUUCAUUUCAGAGCUGUGAAUCCAAUGGUGUUACGAAGGAGAAGAAGAGUUGGUUUGGCUGGAGCAAGAAAGGUUCCAAAGAUACUAGUGAUGAUUCAGGGGAUUCAAAGCUUGUAAAGAAGUUUUCAAAGUUGGCUCCAGAGGAUAGCAAGCAGAGACCAAAUGAUAGUNNNNNNNNNNNNNNNNNNNNNNNNNNNNNNNNNNNNNNNNNNNNNNNNNNNNNNNNNNNNNNNNNNNNNNNNNNNNNNNNNNNNNNNNNNNNNNNNNNNNNNNNNNNNNNNNNNNNNNNNNNNNNNNNNNNNNNNNNNNNNNNNNNNNNNNNNNNNNNNNNNNNNNNNNNNNNNNNNNNNNNNNNNNNNNNNNNNNNNNNNNNNNNNNNNNNNNNNNNNNNNNNNNNNNNNNNNNNNNNNNNNNNNNNNNNNNNNNNNNNNNNNNNNNNNNNNNNNNNNNNNNNNNNNNNNNNNNNNNNNNNNNNNNNNNNNNNNNNNNNNNNNNNNNNNNNNNNNNNNNNNNNNNNNNNNNNNNNNNNNNNNNNNNNNNNNNNNNNNNNNNNNNNNNNNNNNNNNNNNNNNNNNNNNNNNNNNNNNNNNNNNNNNNNNNNNNNNNNNNNNNNNNNNNNNNNNNNNNNNNNNNNNNNNNNNNNNNNNNNNNNNNNNNNNNNNNNNNNNNNNNNNNNNNNNNNNNNNNNNNNNNNNNNNNNNNNNNNNNNNNNNNNNNNNNNNNNNNNNNNNNNNNNNNNNNNNNNNNNNNNNNNNNNNNNNNNNNNNNNNNNNNNNNNNNNNNNNNNNNNNNNNNNNNNNNNNNNNNNNNNNNNNNNNNNNNNNNNNNNNNNNNNNNNNNNNNNNNNNNNNNNNNNNNNNNNNNNNNNNNNNNNNNNNNNNNNNNNNNNNNNNNNNNNNNNNNNNNNNNNNNNNNNNNNNNNNNNNNNNNNNNNNNNNNNNNNNNNNNNNNNNNNNNNNNNNNNNNNNNNNNNNNNNNNNNNNNNNNNNNNNNNNNNNNNNNNNNNNNNNNNNNNNNNNNNNNNNNNNNNNNNNNNNNNNNNNNNNNNNNNNNNNNNNNNNNNNNNNNNNNNNNNNNNNNNNNNNNNNNNNNNNNNNNNNNNNNNNNNNNNNNNNNNNNNNNNNNNNNNNNNNNNNNNNNNNNNNNNNNNNNNNNNNNNNNNNNNNNNNNNNNNNNNNNNNNNNNNNNNNNNNNNNNNNNNNNNNNNNNNNNNNNNNNNNNNNNNNNNNNNNNNNNNNNNNNNNNNNNNNNNNNNNNNNNNNNNNNNNNNNNNNNNNNNNNNNNNNNNNNNNNNNNNNNNNNNNNNNNNNNNNNNNNNNNNNNNNNNNNNNNNNNNNNNNNNNNNNNNNNNNNNNNNUCUCUCUCUCUCUCUCUCUCUCUCUCUCUCUCUCUCUCUCUCUCUCUCUCUCUCUCUCUCUCUCUCUCUCUCUCUCUCUCUCUCUCUCUACUAUUUUGUUAUUCCUUGUAGAAUAGUUUUUUUGACCUAUCCCUUGUCUACUUUUCUGUGCCGGGAGAGGGGGUUCUUCUAUAUCUCAAUAACCUCAUAAAAGCACUUUUGCCUGGGGUGCAUGAUGUCCAAGUCAUGCAGUGAUGUGCGUCACAAUGGAACAAAAAAUGCCGAUGCAUUUACUUGAAAAGAAUGGACAAUCAGAUACUAUAUGCAUGUACUGUGUCCUUCUCUUUUUGAGACUGCUAACCCGGACAUGGUUUCAUUAAUAAGAAUCACAGGUUCAGGAUGCUUACAGAAAGGAAAAGAUAAGAAUUACAGCUUUACAUCAUGAGAUCUUUUAAAAAGAUUAUACAGAUCUCAUUGAAUAUGUCAGUUAUCUUUUCCAAGCACCAAAAAUAAAACUUGAAAAGAAGCUAGAUACAAAUCUGGAGAGAUGCGUCUUCUCGCCUUAGAAGACUCGCCUACUUUUUCCCAACCAUAGAUUCCAAAAGAGGAAAUACCCAAUGAGUGACCAUAAUUUUCAUCCAUUUGAUGAGGUAGAGUCCCUUGCUAGAAGAAAAUCGACCACAAUUUUCAUCCAUUUGAUGAGGUAGAGUCCCUUGCUAGAAGAAAAUCCUUUGAGAUGAACACUUGGGUUUAGCUUGAUAGUCACACCUAUAGGUUUACUCUUGAUCUUAGACUAAGUUUAAGAGAUCAUCUCUUAGGCUUCAGGGCUUUCAGUGUUCGUCUAGUGUUUUGCUUAUCUCGUUUCUGUUCAUUUUUUUGUAGUAUGUCUCCUUUCAUAAGUUAGACGUAAUCUUUUUCAAGCUAACAUCUAUUGCCAUUUAGCAUAGUAAUCAUGGUUGAAUCCUAGACCAAUGCCAAUAUUUCCAAUGCUAACCAUUGAAGAAAUAGAACUUGGGUCUAACUCAACCCAAAAGCUAGCUCAUGAGAUGGGGAUUGCCAAAAACAUAUAAGGAGAGAACAACCCGGUUCCGCAAUCAAUGUUGGACACUUAACACCUCAUACGCCCAAGACUGAACAUAUGGAGCAUGGACAAUAUAACAUUUUUCUUGGGAAGUCUUAACAUUGGUAAUCCAAGAAUUGUAGUUGAUCUGGCUCUGAUACCAUGUUAAAAAAAUGGACCUUGGGCCUAACACAACUCCAAAAGCUAGUUUAUAAGCAAUUGCCAAGACUGUUAAGGAGACUACAAUCAAUUUCCUCAAAAUGUGGGAGACUUGAUAGCAACUACUCUUGAAAGUAAAUACUUUCUGAGAAGAAGCAUUGAGUUGAUUCUGCUUGUUAGUGUUAAUUUAAGAUGUCCUGUUUUAUUGGAAAAAACCUUACCUUAGAAUCUUUCCCUUUUGUUUUUGGUUCGCCUUUUUCACGUCUUGGACUGUGCUUUCUUUCUCUAGUAAUGAUAAAUGAUUCUCCCUGAGAAAAAUUAUUGCCAUUUCAAUAGUUGGGGCAUAUCUUCUGAUAAAUCAAUUUUAGCUGUGUGUUUUCUAUCACUUCACAAGCUAGUACUCUUUCUGAAAUGUAUUCGUUUAACAAGAGAGCAGUAAAGUUAAAGGGAAGAUCUGAAAAUAAAUGGAUUCAUCCAUGCAGUAGACCUGUAUUUAAUAUAAGUGUAGUUGAUCAAUGAUCCUUAUCCCAAAAAAAAAGGUGUAGUUGGUGAAAGGUAACAAGUAUGAAUAAAAAAUAUAUAUAACCUGUAAAUAGCAAGAGAAUAUAGUAGAAGGGUAACGUUUCUGUUCAUUUGUUUUAAUGUAGCACUAUCAAGCGGGUGUGAAAUUGGUUCCUGAACCUUUUCUGUGGAUCCUUCAUAAUACCCCAAGAACUUGUUAAAAAUGAACCCAAUUGUAUACAAUAACUGCACCCAAAUCCAUGUGCAUAGGAGAAGGUUACCUGGGUACUUAAUAAGAUACAUGUUCACAAAUCCAAGAAUAUGAAAAUAUUACUUGGGCAUCUAAAUAAGUAGGAUGGUUGUUUUUACGUAAUAAUGGAACUUUGAUUUUUCAAACGAGUAUGAGAUUACACCCUCCCUCUACCUCCAGCUUGUAUAAAAAGAAAAGUUUCUGUGUUCUAAUUUAGUAUAGAACGGCAAAGAGUUUCAUCGAGCAUAUGUCAUAUUCAGAGUUUUCGUGUGUGUACAUAGAAAACCAGCUCUUUUUCUGACUCUUGAUGUGAUUGUUUCCUGCCCCUGCUUUGACAAAACUAGUUUAGUUACUUAUCACCUCCUUUAAUAAAGAAAGCAUUUUGCCUGUUCAUGUGGAAAUCUAUUGACAAUCUGUCACUCUUGUCCUGAAAAGAUGCUUACAAAUGGAUAAACUCUGAUCCAAUAGGAUAUGUUGAAUUGUUGCAGAGCAUUUGAAGUAAAGAUUUCUCUCUUAUGGUUAUAGUUGUAUCUAGUGGAUGGUCAAUAUACUUAUUUGUUGAUUAUUAUUAUUAUCAUCAGAUGUUCUAUUAUAAGGGGCCGGAUAACAAAUGGUUAAUGGCUUGGCUUGUGAAUUGUCUAUAUGGCAAAUUAGCUUAAAAUUGUUAUAUGGACUAAAUUCUUACAAGCGAAAACAGAAUUAAAAAAUGACUGCAAUUUGAGAUAAAAAUUUCAAGGUGAUGGUGUCGUUGUAAGAAGUUAUAUUUGGUUUGUGGCAAGAUUUGCUAGAUCUACCGGAAAGUCCCAGCUUUCUUAGUUAUUGUCUAUAUUAUAGUUGGUAAUGGGAAACCGUUCCUUCAUUCCAAUUGAAAGUCAUACUUGAGAUUUUGAUGCAUAUACUUGAACUGCAUUCUCAUUUGACCGACCGUAUUAUGAAAUAUUUCCCAUUACUUAUAAGAGUCUGCUGUACUUCAGGUAGCUAUCCCUAUUGUUCCAACCAUUCGAGUUCUUGUUACAUUUACAAAGUUCGAAGAGCUUGAACCAGUGGAUGAAUUCUCAACCCCUCUUUCAAGCCCUACCAAUUUCCAAGAUGCUAAGUCCAAGGAAUCGGAUGGCUCUACGUCUUGGAUUUCAUGGAUGAGGGGGAACCGUGAUGAGCUAUCUAGCGACAGUAAAAGCCACAGUUUCCAGGAUGAGAUUGACCCUUUCCGUAUACCUUCUGAUUAUGCUUGGGUUGAUGCAAAUGAGAAAAAACGCCGGAUGAAAGCCAAGAAAGCAAAGAGGAAGCAUAAAAAGCACGGUGCCACUAGAAAUCCAGAGACUGGGCAGCAGACAAGUGAGGAUGUUGACGAACAACUGUGACGGGAUUUCUCCUCUCCUACUUACAAUAGGAAGAAGAGGUAAAGCUCUGUGCUUCCCUACUCUUGCCAAGCAAGUUGAGGCUUUCCUGGGGGGGUGGCAAGUUUUAGGGGGUUUGCCUCUAUUAUAUUAGAAGUUAUUUAUCUUCAUCAAGCGAUAUUUAUCUUCUGCUGUUGUUGUAUCUUUAUUUAAUGUGAAGAUUUACAAAACAUCUUUUUUCCCCUUCUUCAUAGCUAUAAUCCAGCAUGUUUACUGAGCUAAGUACAAUAGGCAGAUUCGAGUUGGAGAUUUCUUGGGGAGAGCUUCUGUGUUCUCUCGGACUUUGUAGAACAAUGAUUGGCAUACAAGUCCUAUCCUUUUUAAGAUUUUUCUUUCUUCGUACACUUUGAAAGAGGAAAGUAGUUUGUGCUUGGCCGUCUGGUUAAACAAAUUAAAUUUGUAAAGAGCUUUGCAUUUUCUUGUCUGUUCUUUUUUUCGUAAUAAUCUUGAAGUACUUACAUUUAACGUAAUCUCUGUUAUAUAAUUUGAGAUGUUGAAUUGUUGUUAGUUUGUAUUACAGUGGACUUUGAAGGAAAAUAGAAACUGCACCAGUGGGAAUCAGUCAAAUGUGUUUUAUAUACUUAUAUGGAAACAAUCAUACUCACUAAUUAGAACUUUAAUAGACAAGCAGGGUCAAUUAGGGGACUUCCCAACUUCGAAGUUAGGGGAUAGUUUUACUCCUACUUCCUAGAAGGUUAUUCCAUAAUAGCUUGCAUAAAGUGGUCAAAUACCCACCUACAACCCCUGGGUCGUGGGUUCGAGUCAGGUUCUAGUCACUAAAGGAGCAAAAGCUCCAACAAAGGGGAUCAAAGAGUAAUUAAUAAAAAAAGUGGUCAAAUACUGGGCUCUUACAAACAUUAUCUACCUUAACCUCUAGAGGAUAGGAGAUCAACUUCGGGAUGAGAAAAUAUCGCUGAGAAAGCAUCUUGACGAAGAUAAAAGAGGUGUCGAAUAUCGCUGAGAAAGCAUCUUGACGAAGAUAAAAGAGGUGUCGAAUAUCGCUGAGAAAGCAUCUUAACGAAGAUAAAAGAGGUGUCGAAUAUCGCUGAGAAAGCAUCUUGACGAAGAUAAAGAGUUCGACACCUGAAAGAAUCCCGAAACAAAGUCUAUAUUCCUCCUAUACCCCUUAUUCUUAGCAUCUAGGAUAUUGAAUAAAGUAACAACUUAGGGGAUACUGAUUUGAGGGAAGCAUAGGAAGACACCAAAAGAUUAUACUAAUUGUAAGACACCUAAGUUACCAUUACCUUAAAAAGUUGGGAAAACACUAAAGAAAUAGAUGAGAAAAUUAAGAAAGUUAGCGUUUUCAAUACUAGUCAUUCUUAAACAAGAAAAGAUAGGAGCGAUAUCAUUACAAGAUCUAAGAUUUUAACUCUAGGAAGAACUACUAGUCAUUAUACCUACUGCUUCUUUGUGAUAACAAAUGCAUACUUCAUAUAAAAAAACCUUUGUGCAAACGCAUUCGCCCAAGCAUAUUACUUUUCUUGCCUUGCAUAUCUUUGCAACAUAUAAUUGACGUUUGACACAACUAUAAUUUGCAACGAUGACGAGUUGGCUGGCAGCGAGGACAAUGGAUCCCUUUUUAUUGGAACCCAAAACCGUUUGAAUAAACUCAACCUUCAGAUUUCAGUCACAGUGGCAGAUCCAAUAUAGAAGCCACUGGUUCGAUAGAACUCACCCCUUCCAACUUAUGCGAAAAAACGCAUAUAGAUAUGGUUAGACAUGUAUUUCAGAACGUACAUUUUCAACCUAGAACCCAUGGAGUCUAAAUUAUGGACAUGCUAAACCUAUUUAGCUUCGAUGGCAGUCUUAUAUUAGUCUUGUAUUAAUCCCCAUUCGCCACAUACCUGAGCGCCUCAUUACUGGAAUAGAUCAGUCACCAUAUAAUCGAACCAGAAGCCAGAAGGUAAAGGAAAAAGAAUAGAGCAGAGAACAAUUUCUAUUCUACCUCAUUUGACAAAGUAUUGCUCGAUGCUUCACUAAAAUGGCUAGAGAAGUACAUUCCUUCCACCGACUCCUGCUUGGAAUUAUCUCUGGUUUAUACUUCGCCUUGUUUUUCCACUAUUUUUGCUAAUUUGACUAAGCAAUGGCUUGAAUACUUUACUGAAAUGGUAACUGUGACUUCUGCCAUGCACACGUUAAUAGUUAAGACACACAGGAUGCCAUUGCCAUAUUAACUAGGCCUUCAAAAUGUUCACAAUUAUCUAAUUAUUGUUUUCAGGCAAGGUCAGGAUUGGACCAACAAUCUAAGGUCAAGACCCCUUUCUAUUUCUUUCCCCGAGAAAUUUAGAAGACUUAUACACAGACAGUGCAACAAUUUUACACCAUCAAUGUAUUUUGAGCUGUUGCAACAAAUAGCCUGCUUUAUUUUAUAGGUCACUAAUCUCACUUUCAUGGACAGUGACUCAACUGUGCAAAAAUUCUUUUACACUGUCUACAAGUUGCUGUUUGCAGAAACUCCACUACGAAUAUGAACCAUGCACUAACAAAUGAUCAUAGGAAUUUGUGGCUAUACCAGGAUACGUUCAACCUACAAAAUGCAAAGCCUUCCACACAAAGGUUUUCCUCGACAAAUGGCAUUAGCAAAGAGCCAAUCAUACUAGAUUCUUAAAAUUAUCUCAUAGUAGUAUAUACAUCAGACAAAUUCAAGUUUUAGUAACUGAGAAGAUGAAGGACUACUGGUUUGAAAUGUGAAAUAGAGCAAAUACAGAAACAUAGCUUGAUUGAAGACAUGUCCAAAUGCGGAAACAAAGUUAAUAAGUUUUCUCUAACACGCGAAUUUCCACACAACCGUGCUUACAACUCCAAGCCACCUGAACCUUAAUUCAUCGCAUGUUAUCUCUGCGCCUGUUAUAUCUAUUGGGUCUUAUUCUGUCGUUACGCUGAGGGACAGGCUCUACUCUCCUCUGUCGUUCAGGUGAUCUCUGAACUAUCUCUCCAUUGACAAAAAGUUCAGCUGCAAAGAAUUAGAUAAGAUCAGUGCCAGAGAAAAAUCACACACAUCCUUCAUCAAAUAUAAUGGAGUGAAAGAGCCAAUAGAGUUAAAACUAAAUACAUUCGACGCAUGAAUCUCAGACCUUAGCAUGGAAGGCAUAGGAAAAAUAAUACUAUAACAAGACAAAAUCAAGGUCAUCUAACAGAUACAAUUUUCUCCUAUGAACCAAAAAGCAGUUUUAGUGGGUUUACUUUGUGUGUGUGUGUGUGGGGGGGGGGGGGGGGGGGGGGAUUUUUUUUUUUUUUAAAGGGGGUUUGAAACUUUUUUUUUUUUUUUUGGAAACCACCCCCCCUAGAAGGGGAAAACCUAACCUGAAGAUAGAGAAAAUACUGAGCUUGAACUCAAUGAAAGUAUCAAUUUAAAAAAAACACCUUUAAAAGCAGCAAUUACAUGGAGCACUCCGUAAAAUCUAAAAGCUUCAAAAUCAGAAUGUUUCCAGGUUUUCACAAAAUACUAUCAGUUCAUUAGUAGGAAUUAGGAAAAAAGCAAAAUCUUUUUUGGCAAGUCCAAAAGAAAUAUCACGGUUUGUAUCGGUUUAGAGCAAAUUUGAAAUUGUUCUGGAUUUAGGUGAGCACACAGCAAGUUAAUUAGGGGGGAAUGCAAAUGGGUAAAAGACAAGGUAUCUUCGCAAUAACACUAAUGCAAUAGGGGAUACAUUAGUCACCCGGUAGAUCCAUCCUUCUAAAGGCACGUUCUACAAAGCAGAUGACUGAGUUAAAGCAGAGUCUGUAUAUGUUGAAUUCACACAUUCUUAGAAUUCUUUACAUCAUAGUGGAUCACUUUUAGGUGGUGAUUAGGAACCUCAUGCUCAGUGUAACCGACCCCCCCCCCGCCCCCAAAAAAAAAAAAAAAAAAAAUUAAAAACCAAUUUCCCUUGCAACCGGUGAUGUCGGACCAACUUGUGUGCAUCUCGACUAUGCCACGCGGUAUCUACUACCUCCGACCAACACAUGUAACGAAUAACUUUGCCCAUAGGCAGAUUGGAAAAAAUCACCUAAUAUUUGUAGUCUAUACUAGGAUCUGAAAUAUGGUCUCCAAAAUUUGCACCCACUUCAUUGACCAUUAGAGCACACCCUUGGGUACUCUCCUUAUUCACUUCACCUAUUCAUCCUCUUAGGUUUAUCACGAAAAGAUUGACAACUUUUUAUGAAAAGAAAUUAUAUCAUGUGAGGAUUUAAAUUCAAACAAGAGGGGGUUGCUCUAGUGGUGAGCACCCUCCACUUCCAACCAAGAGGUUGUGAGUUCGAGUCACCCCAAGAGCAAGGUGGGGAGUUCUUGGAGGGAGGGAACCGAGAAUCUAUCGGAAACAGCCUCUCUGCCCCAUGGUAGGGGUAAGAUCUGCCUACACACUACCCUCCCCAGACGCCACUAGUGGAAUUAUACUGGGUUGUUGUUGUUGUUGUUGAUUUAAAUUCACAAUAUGACAUUUUCUUUAUGUCUUGACUUAGUAAGACGUCUUUGAAAUUUCUCCCCGCUACCAAUUAUUGUCUAUAUCUCAAAGCAACUCAUACAUCCUAACCAAUAAAAUGUAUAUUCCUCUAAUUUCUUUUAACGUUGUCAAUGCCAUUUUCCCUUGCUUAGCUGUCUUCACUAUAUAAGAGAAACCAUGGAAUCUUCCAACCACAUUCUUCAUCUAUUUUUUCUUCAAAUAAGCCAACAUUAAUCUCAGUUUGUUACCUCUGAAUGCUCAUGCUGGUGAAACAAACUAUAGAUUUUACAAUUCAAAUUACUGUUUGGAUUAUAUUUUGGAAACAGUUACACAUAAAGGACAAAGACAAGAAUUUUAAGAAACAACUAGCAAGAACAGACUUCUUUUAUGCAUUUCUUGAUUCUAGCUAUUGGGUCAUACUCCUACCUUAAGAAAAAUGACCUACAGCUCAGAAUCUGCCAAACAAAGAGCAAACAAUUGCUCAAAGAAUGUUUUGUUUUAAUCAGCAAAUAGCUAAAAGAAUGUUUACCUCCAUAGUCCUUGUACUCAGGAUCAACAUAGGAAUCAGGCAGCACAAAGAGGACACCAGGCAAACCUAUAGCAGAAAACAUUCGAAGUCAAUUCUUUGAUAUAAACUGAUGACUAUCACAAAAAACAAUUCAAAUGAAAGUAAAUCAUUUUCAACAGACCUUCCAUUUUAUUUGCAGUCUCCUCGUCAACUUCACACCCAAAGCCAAAAUACCUCUCACAUGAGACAUUGUAAAUCUUCUUUUUUGCUUCCUCUUCGCUACACAUUCAAAUGAGAGGCUACAUGAGUAGGUAUAAAAAACUACUACUAUUACAGAUCAAUCCUAAACUAGUCAGGGUAGGUUAUAUGAAUCCUCAAUAACAACUGUGCUUCACGCGGGCCUUUUUCAUUCUAGUACUUAAUACACUUGAAUAGCUACAUGAACAGAAAAGCACAAAUGAGUUAUCUAGACACAUUUAUACUCCUCCAUCCAAAGAAAACUGAAAGUGUUACUAUUUGAAAGUCAAAACGAUUUUCUUUUUGGAUCCGGUGGUGUCCGGCUAACUUGAGCGCACCUCGACAUUUUCGCUGGGCACCUGCUGUCUCCCACCAACACAUGUGCUGGGUAACUUUACCCACCAAGUCUUAGGCGGAUAAGAAGAAAGCACCUAAUGUUUUUUUGACUCAACUAAGAUUGAACCUGAGAUCUCAUGAUUCUCCUCCUACUGCAGUGACUAUUAGGCCACGACCUUGGGUGCAAGUCAAACAACUUUUAAAAAAUAUAUAUAUCUUAAGCAUUUUCAAGUAAAACAGACUAAGGUAUAUCUACUUUUAUAUAGGCUGAAUAUGCAAGUUCUAUUCGGAAAAAACUGGAAACUACAUCAGCUAAUCUUCAUAAUCAAAGCUCCGUCAGUUAUUAAAGAGGGAGUAUUUUCUUAUCACCCUCGCAAUUCCUUUCCAAAAUUUUAAGAGUCAAAACAACUUUUUUAAAACAUACUCCCUCUGUUCCAGUUUAUGUGAACCUAUUUCCUUUUUGGUUCAUUCCAAAGAGAAUGACUCCUUUCUAAAUUUGGAAACAAUUUAGCUUAAAGUUCCAAUUCUACCCUUAAUGAGAAGCUUUUAUAACCACACAAAUACUUUGGACCCCUUUUUGACUUGUUUAGGACCACAAAUUCCAAAAGUCUUAAUUUUUUCUUAAAAUCCGUGCUCAGUCAAACAAGUUCACAUAAAUUGGAACAGAGAGAGUAUAUCUUUUAAACAUAUUCAAGUAAAAAAUAUUAAGUUACAUCUACUUCUUUUUUUUUUUUUGAUAAGGGUUAUAUCUACUUUUAUAUAGAGUGAAUAUGUAAGUUUUAUUUGAAACAACUGUAAACUAGAUUAGUUAAUCGUCACAAUCAAAACACAGACAUUUACUACACAGGGAGUAUUUUCUUAUUUCCCUGCAAUUCCUUUUCAAAAUUUUAAGAUGUUUCUAACAUUAAUAGUAUAUAUUUACAUAGUUUCUACAUAUGUAAGCUUUAUUUUUUUUAGAACAACUAAUUACUCAGGCUGAAAAAUAAUGUCUGUAAUCUCUCAUGCCCUAAGCCGACCAUUUUUUCAGGACGAUAGGACUAUGCUAUUUUUGCCUUUUAAGGACUUUAGCUAGGGUGUUUUUAUUACCUUCCGAGGACUUUAGCUAGGGUUUCAAUGUAACAAUACAUCAUUUGCUACAUUUAUAGUAUAUUUUACAUAGUUUCUACACAUAACUUUUUUUAUAAUUUAACAAUUAACUUAAAAAAUUAGAUGUUUUCAUUACCUUCCGAGGACUUUAGAGAGGGUUUGAAUGUAACAAUCAAUCAUUUGCUGUUUAUUAGCGCCUUCUCCACCAGGUUUAUCCAUAACAAUGAGCCAGUGCUCGUAAUCGCAGCCCGGAAAGAGCGGGGCCAUCUCGGUGGGAACCCGGUCGCCGGUCCCCGGAGUAUAAGGCGAGUUACCGGCCCGGUUCACUCGGAACCUAACAGAACUGAGACUGAACGGUUUGAGGAAAUUAGGGUUUUUGGGUAGAAGGGAGUGGGAGAGGAGAAAUGACGGUUGAGGUGAAGAUCCGACGGCUGGAAGAGGUGGAGGAUGUGUAAUUGACGACGAAGAAAAAGCGGAGGAGGAGAGGAAGCGAGAGUAGUGGCGAGAAGUGUAGAGAGUUCGAGUAAUGGAUUUGGUGAUUUUAGAGGACGCCAUUUUUGAUGAAUUUUUUGAGAGUUAGGGAUUGUUGGAGUUGGAGGGUUUAUAUGAUGGAGAGAAGUGAGGUGAAGACGAGGGUUUAUGGGAAGGGAUAGUCGGCUUUAUUGUUGUUCCCUUUUUUCUUCUUCUUUUUGGGGUGGGGGCGGGGGGUGGGGGAACAGCACAGGUCUUGAACUUUCACCAACUUUAUACUUUAAGGUCUGAAGUUUUGAACUGUCAAAAUUAAACUUCCGAAAGUUUGAAAUUUAACAACUUUAGAUCCGACGUUUGAAGUUUGAAACUUUCAUACCCGAGAUUUAAAGUUUGAUUAUGAAAUGACUAAACUUUAAAUAUUUUAAAUUAUGGUUAUUCUUUAAAUGUGGUCUUAAAACGACUAUUUGUGGAUUUGAGUCCUGAGAUUGAAAAAAUGUGUGCCCGCUAUAUGGUUAUAACAAAAAGUAAAAUAAAACCACUGAAUAGUAACAAUAUUUUUUUCACUUCAUGGAGUUAGGAAGAGACAACUAUAUAGGGAUGACAAUGAGGCGGUGCGGGUGCAGGACGGUACGGGUUUAGACAUAUGCGGGGCGGUACGGGUUUAGACAUAUGCGGGUGCGGAGCGGGGCGGGACGGGGCGGGUUAAACUAAAGAAAAAUAUUUUUUCGCGGGUACGAGUGUGAGUUUAAAUACUAAUUUUUCACACAACUGAAAAGGAGUAGAAAAUGUUUAAUUUUAACAAAUCCAAUCUCAUACACUAUAAAUUAAUGUUCUUCCAUUAUGACAAAAACAAUGAGGUCACUUGACGAAUAAGUAUAAUACAAAUCUCUACGGUAACUAUAUGAAAAUAUAGACUAAAAACUUGAACAAUAACAGAAAAUGAGAAAAUUACUCGCUAUUUUUUAUUGAAAUAAAUUAAGAUGGUAAAAUAUUUAUUCUGACUAUGUGUGUGUACAUGCUGAUCCCGCGUUCAUUGAUCGCAAAAAUAAAAUAAGACAAUUGAAAAGGAAAAAAAAGGUGCGGGGCGGGGCGGGUGGACGCGGGUGUGGUGCGGGGCGGGUGGAUGCGGGUUAAAAGAGCUAUGCGGGGGCGGAGCAAGUUAAAAUUUUGCGGGUUAAGAGAGAACCCGCACUGCUUGCCAUCCCUACAACUAUACAAAUAGUUGUUUCUUGGCCAAAUACCUAGACGACACAUUAAACUUGGCUCCAGUUUCCAUUUUAGCACUUAAACUCAGCCUAGUCCCUAUUAAACACUCUAAUUCAAAUAAAAGUAUACAUAUUAAAUACCUCGUGACUAACUAGUAAAAAUGGGAUAAUACGUGCACUUCAGACACGGUGACAUAGCAAAAUUAACGAAUGACAAACAACCAUGUGGCUACUAAGUCCAGCUAACCAAAAAAAAGAAGAGAAAGAAUAGAAACCUCCCACUCACCCUAGCAGAUCAUCUUCUCACCAAUCGUCUCCUUUCUCUACACCCAUCAUCAUCAUCUUCCCCCCUCCCCCCACCCCACCCCACCCCACCCCACCCACAUACACACCAUCACUAAAAGAAAUAUUAUCUCAAAUACUUCACAUUCCACUUCACUUAUUAUUCCACAGGUUUUAAAAUUCUUCUGCAAUCUAUCUUAAAUGUCUACCCAAUUUCAUGGCCUACAAGAAUAAUUUGAAAAUCCACAACAUGCUACCCACCACUGUGACGCCACAACAAGUCGAUUAACGUUUGACUGCUUCCAAGUUUUAUUUUGAUUUCGUCGGGCAUGUUGUGAUUCACGAAAUUAAGCUUGAACACUUUUGAAAUUGUUUAAUUUUGAGUUGAAUCAUCCAUUUUGAUUUUUGAGUAGACAGAAUUAUGGGGUUUCUCUGCUGGGUUUCUCUCUUUGUUCUUUAAUAUUGUGGUAGUUUUGCCUCUGAUUUCUGGGAUAAAGCAGGCAAUUUUGAAAAAUUUCAGAUUCUAGCAUUUUAAGCUUUGAAAUCUUAUGUUUGAACCAUGGUGAGCGACGAUAGAUAGGUGGUGAGGAAGAAGACAGUGGGUUUUAUUUAAUCGGAUCUCACAUAGUUGUAGGCUUGCAACUGAUCUUUGGGGAAAGACGGUGAAUAGUGGCGGUAGUGGAUGAAGAGUGGUGGUGAUCGGGUGGUUACACGGUGGAUAUGAGUGGCUGUUUCUUUCUUUUCUUCUCCAACGUGGGUGGUCGUUAUAUGUGUGGGGGAAAAGAAAUGUUUUGAAACAAAAAAAGGAAAAGAAAUGAUCAUUUCACGCUUCUAACUUAGGUGCAUGUCACAGAAAUAUACCAUAUCAUCAUCUGUGUUUAAUAGGUACACCUUUAUUUGAGUUAGAGUUUUCAAUAGGUACUAGGUUGAGUUUAAGGGUUAAAAUAGAAAUUGAGGUCAAGUUUAAGGAACGUCCAGGUAUUUGGUCUUGUUUCUUUAAAUGUGGUCUUAAUCCUUGCGAUCUCUUGAUUGUUGUCUGAUCCUUCAGUAGAUACAAAAUAGCCGUUUAACGAAGGGAGUACUUUUUAUAUUUGUUUCUUCAACUGGUCAAAUCAAUUUUGAUCCAACAAGACUAUUUUGUUUUGUACUUAAUUUAAUGACUAGUAACUGUAACUUUCGUCAUUUCCUCAUCUAUGUAGAGUCACAAAUUCUUUCUUACUUACAAAUUACAUGUCCUAAUUAUAUCAUGUAUGUUAUUCUGUUUUUACAAUUUCUCUGUUUUCUCCUUUUUCCUUUUAAGUUUUACUAUCCACUUUACAUUGUGGGACUCAAAUGUUUUUAACACUUUUUGCAGAUGCCACAGAAGGGCUGAAAGAUAACGGGGAACCAAAGAAUUCUGGGGUAAACACAGAGAUAUUUUUUCCCCGUAAUUAAUUGCAUUCUAAAUUUUGAACUACAACAAUAUGGCAAAAGUAGAAUACACUCAAGAUUAUUCACUGUAGAGGCAAUGUGAUGGAUUAGUGCCUUGGAAAAAAGAUCCACUUAUAAUCUCAACGUUUUCUGUAACGGCACGGUUAUUCAUCCCUUCUGAUCCUGGAGAGAAAUUAAACAUCAUCAAAAAGUCUUCUUAUCUGGUCCACAGUUGCAGGCAUAAGUGUCACAGGGCAGCGCUUAUACUGCACAAAAGGAAAACAGAACAUGAAUAUACAAAAAGAAAAGAUAUUUAAAGAAAAAAGAAAUAAGUAAACACCACACAUUAACAAAAGCCGAAAAUAUUUGCACACAGACUUAAGUUAUAUACACAUGCAGUAUAAAAUUUUCUUACACUAUCUGUAAUUUAUACUGUGAUAAAUGAUAGGUUAGUAACCAAGUUUACAAGGCUAACAGGAGGAAUCACUGAUAAGUAUAGAUGAAUCAGCUCCAUGAUUUUACUAACAGCUACCAAAAAGUAAAAGCAGUAGAUACUAGAUAGUCAUGGGAAUAGCUGCUUAACAACAAAGCAUCUGAACAGAAAAAAUAUAUAUAACGAUAUUUCCACAAAAUUAUAUAAUUGUAUUUGUAGUUUUCUUUCCCGGGGUUCUUUUUGCAAUUAGCAGGUCAAGAGAUUAUUGCAGUACUAAGUAUAAAGAAGCCAAUUUAACAUUGCCAUCAUGCGAUUUAGUUUCCGCGCAUCGUAUCAACUAACUCUGAAAUUUCACCUGAGAAACAUAUCUGAAAAUGCAGGAAUAGCAGAAGACAAAUCCUGAAACUGACACUACUGAUGGAUUUGCACGCUUUUGUGAGCAUAAAGGACAUAGCGUUCUGUCUGAAGGUAGUGGAAUUCCCUCUUUUGCAACCUGCUUAAAUUGAAAAAUGUUAUACAUAAGCAUUGUUGCGGGAAUACAAGAAAAAACU